AGUGAACGCUGGCGGUAGGCCUAACACAUGCAAGUCGAACGGCAGCACAGUAAGAGCUUGCUCUUACGGGUGGCGAGUGGCGGACGGGUGAGGAAUACAUCGGAAUCUACUUUUUCGUGGGGGAUAACGUAGGGAAACUUACGCUAAUACCGCAUACGACCUACGGGUGAAAGCAGGGGAUCUUCGGACCUUGCGCGAUUGAAUGAGCCGAUGUCGGAUUAGCUAGUUGGCGGGGUAAAGGCCCACCAAGGCGCCGAUCCGUAGCUGGUCUGAGUGGAUGAUCGGCCACACUGGAACUGAGACACGGUCCAGACUCCUACGGGAGGCAGCAGUGGGGAAUAUUGGACAAUGGGCGCAAGCCUGAUCCAGCCAUACCGCGUGGGUGAAGAAGGCCUUCGGGUUGUAAAGCCCUUUUGUUGGGAAAGAAAAGCAGCAGGUUAAUACCCCGCUGUUCUGACGGUACCCAAAGAAUAAGCACCGGCUAACUUCGUG
rnacentral:rRNA from 1 species